rnacentral:tRNA from 1 species
GGCGCGCUCGCUGGUGGGCAGCCCCCACGCCUGCAGCGCGCGGUAGGCCUCGGACUGCGAGAGCGGCUCGAAGCCGCGGCGCGCACC